CAUCGCUCAUAUCGGACAAACCCUUCUUCUUCCUCCACUUCGUUUCCUCCGUUUCACGAUUUUUUCACCUGCUUACAAUCAAUUUCAUCCCCACUCCUGUACAAGUUUAAUCUCAUUAAUGGAUUCUUUUCGAUUUCUCCAUCUGAGAUUCUAUAUAAGUCUCCUACUUUGUUUAUUUUUUUUCAUCAAGCUUUGUGAAAUCCUCUCGACUGUGCAAUUGCGAUGACGAUUUCCUGUCUUUCCGACUCACUGAAGACGAACAGCGAAGCGGCGGUCCCCUCGAGUCCGGUUAAACCCGUCGCACAAACCAGUGUCCCUUCCGGCUUGAAGAACAAUAGCGACUUCCAAGAUACCAUUUUCCGAAUUGAAGCCGGAGCCUCUCAGUCGAAUCGUUGUCUCACGCAUCUCCGUUUUGGGAAGCUACCAAUGUGAAGUAUAUGUGAUCGCUGCCGAUCCUCAGGUGACUGUCUCAUCUAUAUAAAUUGAAACCCCAAGUAAAUACCGCAGUUAACUAUGCGUGUUUUUUUUAUGUUUCACAGAUAAUUGAGUUUUUAUGCACUGCCAAAUUGAAUGAAACUCAUGCCGAUAAAGGUUGGUGUUAUGGCUGCUCCACGUGUUCAAAGAAACUGGUGCGGGAAAUAUCUUCAUUCACAUGUCUCUUUUGUGAUAAGACUGAUGCUGUGGGUGUACUGAGGUCCCGUGUGGAACUCUCUGUGUCUGACCAGACUGGUUCAGUUUUCUUAGUGGCUUUUGAUGAGGAGAUGGCCACAAUUACCAACAUUGAAGCUUUUGAAGCUGCGUAUAUUGUGAUAUACUCUGAUAAUAAAGUCUUACUAUUGACCUUAGCUAUUUUUAAAGAACCACAAUUUCUAAAUAUAUAUUUUUCGGAAUUGCAGAGGGUAGAGGUCAAUGCUAAGGUUGAUAGGGACCCUCCAUCAGUUCAUUACUGAGAUUUGUAGCACCUACACAUUCCAGCUCAAGCUAACCUCUUUCAAUUUCACUUCAAAGCACCAAACCUUCACCAUUUCCCCUAUAUUUACUGUGCUGGAUCGUCCACCUGUGUCAGCCUUUGUUAUAGAAGGAGGUUCAGAUGUCCCUCAAGCCAAGCUGCCUGGAGUGGACACAAAAGGAUCAGCUGUUAUACCAAGUGAUGAUUGCGGUGUUUCAGUAUCAACCACGCAGCAACUUGAUCCAGAAGAAAAUGGACCGAAGAAGGCACAUUUGGAAUAGGUACUCUUGAUUGCUGCACCACCUCAAAAUGAACUUAUGAAACUUUUGGCUUUAGCAUAUUCUCAAUUACUGUUUUCCCUUUUCCCAUGGUUUAUCCCAUGGUGAUUUCAAGUACAAGAAAUACCAAGUUUAUUAAGAAGCUUUCCCCUCAUGAGUAUUAUCGUUGUGCAUUGAUCCCGUGAUUCCCACUGCUUAUGGUGGUUGUGGUGGACCCAUUGGUGUUUUUUCUUCCUGCGUUGCUUUCUUGAGGAUCAGUUGGACGUGUAGACCGCGAACGUUCCAUAGUAGCACGCUUUGGUAUUAGAGACAUGUUCUAGAGAAGCUUACAUGUCCCCUGAUCAGUACUCCAGUGACAGGUACGCUGCCUUCGCAGAUCAGUUUGUUUAUGGUGAUAGAUACAGUCGUGGACCACAUCCUCCAACGAGUUAAUACAGAGCCCCAUCUUUUGACAGAGACGUAGUCCUAAGUGCAGGAAGUGACAGCUACUAUUGUGAUAGAGUUGGUGAGCCCAUAUGUGGAGGAGAUGAGGGAAGAGGAUAUAGAAGCCGAGCCAGUGGUCCUUAUGAUAGGCCGAGCCUAAGUGGUGGUCAUUAUCCAUUGUCCUCUACUUUUAACAUUACUAAGGCAUGAACGAAAUGAUAUUGAUUGUUUGCUUGGUUAAGGUUUAGUUACUCUUAUGUGGUAACUGUUAAGGUUUAAUACUAUUUAAAUAAAUUCAAUGGUUCAUGUGAUUAA